UUGAAAGGGAAACGAUUGAAGUCAGUCGUACCGACGGAGGAAUCAACCUUUGAAAGCGGGUCGAGGUAUUCGAGGAGUUUAAAAGCCCUCUUGCGCUCACGUACUUCGUUUUCUUUGGUGCACUUCUUCGUAUGGUAGGUUAACAUCAAUUUUGGACGUUACAAAAUGAUCGGGGGAAUGUAGCUUCGAUUUUUUCGAAGUGUUAUAGACCUUGGUAGAUGUGACGACCGGGAUUGAGGAUUGCAACGAAUGCUUUCGGGCUAUCCGUCUGACCUCUGGUGGUUGCUUUGGGGUCGAAAGCGUGCUUACGACUUUCAAGUUGGCCAUCAAAAGGCUAGAACGUGAUUAAAUUCGUUAAGGAUGUUGACGUA
rnacentral:rRNA from 1 species